rnacentral:tRNA from 1 species
GGGUGCGUAGUUUAAUGGCAAAAUGUUCGGCUCCAGACCGAAAGACUGGGGGUUCGAUUCCCUCCGUGCCCA